rnacentral:rRNA from 1 species
GACAUCCAGCGAACUUGGCAGAGAUGCCUUGGUGCCUUCGGGAACGCUGAGACAGGUGCUGCAUGGCUGUCGUCAGCUCGUGUUGUGAAAUGUUGGGUUAAGUCCCGCAACGAGCGCAACCCUUAUCCUUUGUUGCCAGCGAUUCGGUCGGGAACUCAAAGGAGACUGCCGGUGAUAAACCGGAGGAAGGUGGGGAUGACGUCAAGUCAUCAUGGCCCUUACGAGUAGGGCUACACACGUGCUACAAUGGCGCAUACAAAGAGAAGCGACCUCGCGAGAGCAAGCGGACCUCAUAAAGUGCGUCGUAGUCCGGAUCGGAGUCUGCAACUCGACUCCGUGAAGUCGGAAUCGCUAGUAAUCGUGGAUCAGAAUGCCACGGUGAAUACGUUCCCGGGCCUUGUACACACCGCCCGUCACACCAUGGGAGUGGGUUGCAAAAGAAGUAGGUAGCUUAACCUUCGGGAGGGCGCUUACCACUUUGUGAUUCAUGACUGGGGUGAAGUCGUAACAAGGUAGGCGUAGCGAG